GGUACUGAGGAUUCGAACCCAGGGCUUCAUGCAUGCUAGGCAAGCACUUUACCGCUAAGCCACACUCCCAGCCCUCCUCUAGUUUCCUUUUCUUUUUUUUUUUGUGCCAGCCUGAGGCUUGCUGGGCCUUGUCCUCUUGCUUAUUAGCUUUUUCAGUCAAGCAAGGUGGCCUUCUACUACUUGAGCCGCAAUGCCACUGGAAGAUGGACUUUUCUUCACCGCAGGUUCUGAACAGGGAUGCUCAGGUCCUGGCCUCCUGAGUAGCUAGGAUCGAUUAUAGGCAAGAGCUACCAGUGCCCACCUUAAAAAAAAUACUGCUAUAGUUAAUUGAUACCUUUCCAAAUAAAAGAGCACACAUCAUAUUACCCUAGUCAUAGGUUUUUAAGGAAGAAAAUCUUUAUCACUUUAAGAGUUA